rnacentral:tRNA from 1 species
GGAGAGGUGACCGAGUGGUUUAAGGUGCACGACUGGAACUCGUGUGUGGGGUAACACUCACCGAGGGUUCGAAUCCCUCCCUCUCCGCCA